rnacentral:rRNA from 1 species
UCGUAGUUCGAUACCAAUAGGCCUUCGGGCCAAUGCACCUCAGCAGGCUGGCGACGGCCCCCAGGCACAAACCCCUGAGGGCUGGCUGGCGGAUUGCAAUGUCACCUCGCGCGGGGAUAAAUCCUCUGCAGACGACUCAAGUGACCAAGCGGGUCGUGUAAGCGGUCAAGUAGCCUUGUUGCUACGAGUCGCUGAGCGUCACCCGUCCUUGGCUAGAUUUGUUGGAAUACCACCUCCCACCAAUGGGUCCGGCAGCGCCGGGCGCUUGGAGGGGGGGACACCUCUUCUCCGGCAAACAGGCGGGGCCGGCACAGCAGCCGGUCUCGCCGAUUCUCACCGUGAAGGCCGUCUGCCAGUUGGCGACGGGUCAUGGCGGCCAGGCCCAGAGGGCGCGCGCGCCCGGAUCAGCUGAUCAGGCGCGCGCGGGCCGUCCCCUCGACGUCGAAGGCGGGUGACCAGUUGGCCCGAGAACAUGGCCGGCCGGGCGCACAAAGAGAGUGGGCCACGGUGGGCCCCCACGGAUGACUUUCGGACACGGGAACUUUGCGCGCACGAUUCCGGCCAAUCAAAGUCGGUGGGUAUGUAUCGAAGGCAAAAGACGUGGAGUGGCGUUGAUGUGGACAUGACGUAAUCUACGGGAGGGGCCUGCCGCGGGGGAUGGCCACAGUGGCGACGCAUGCCUGGGAAGACGCCGCGACGACGGUCGGCCACCAUUGUUCUUAUUCUUCCGAGCGGCAAAAACGGAAACACCACGCAGCAGACACCAAUCCCCCCAGGCGGGGAUAGGGCCUUGGGGGAAGAGGACCCCAC